UACAUGUGGGGCAAGCGUUGUUCGGAAUUACUGGGCAUAAAGGGUGCGUAGGCGGUUUGUUAAGUCACUGGUGAAAGUUUGCGGCCCAACCGUAAAAUUGCCUGUGAUACUGGCGAACUUGAGUGCGUGAGGGGUAGGGGGAACGAGCAGUGUAGCGGUGAAAUGCGUAGAGAUGUGGAGGAACACCGAUGGCGAAGGCAGCCUUCUGGGCCAACACUGACGCUCAUGCACGAAAGCGUGGGGAGCAAACAGG
rnacentral:rRNA from 1 species